rnacentral:rRNA from 1 species
AUGGAGAUCUGCUUCCGGAGCACCUCCAUCUGCUCGUCCGUCAUCACCUUGACGUACCCCAGCGCCUCGCCCCUCUCCUCCGCCGGCUCGCCGGCCGCCGCGGCGGCGGAGGCCUUGUCCCACUCCAUGGUCAGCCCGCUCACUCGCAAAAAAGGAGGCGCCCAGGCUGUGGGGAGAAAAGAGGCAGGAAGGAUGGGAUUUUUGGAAAGAAAGAAAAGGAUGGGAUCCUGGUGCCGUGGAAACGGAAGGAAAUCCGCUCGGCCGAUCCCGAAUCCCGGCUGCGGCGGGGCAGUGGAGACUCGCGAAAGGAAAGAGCAAGAUGGAUACGGCGCCUUUCCUCCAGCCGUCUGGGGUAGUAAGUACGUAGGUAGAGAGCUCGAACCGCGACUGUUGGGACCGAAGUGUGCUGCCGGAGGUGAACUUGGGGCAGGGGAGGCCGGCGGUGCUGGCGGAGGUCUGGGGCCGGCGCAGGUGGAGCUCGGGGGGCGGGCCGGAGGUGCUGGGGCCGGCGCAGGUGGAGCUCGGGGGGCGCAGGAUUGUGGGUGGGCGCGGGCCGGAGGUUGGGCUCGCGGUGGAGCCGCCGGAAGGAAACAGGCCUGCUGCUGCAAGAAGAAGUGCGAGGGAACGGAGAAAGAAGAAGAGGUGUCUGCGACAGAGGAGCCAGAGAAGAAGAAGAAGAAGCGGCAGAAGAAAAAGCCGACAGCUCGUGCCAAGGCUUGCAGCUUUGGAUUGGGAAAAGCUGGACACAGAAACCAGGCAGGGAACUAUACUCUAGUAAUAGUACUCUCUCUCUCUCUCUCUCUCUCUCUCCCUGGCUAUUUUGUCUUGGAGGUAGUGGCACUGGCUCAGGCUCAACAUUCACUCCCCUCCUCGCAGUGCUGGUGCUGGCUUGAAGGAUGCCAUGGCCAUGCCAUGCACGGCCGAGAGAUUUAA